CGAGAAAUUUUUUUGGGGGUGGGUUUGUUGGGUUAGGGGGUAGUUGGUUGUAGACAUCUAAUGGGCGGAAAAUCCCAUUACAGAACAAGUACGACCACGAAAACUGAAAAGAACAUGUACGAUGAAGUUAAGUAGAAAAGAACUCUGAUGAGAGAGCUCCAUAGUACGCGAAACCGAUCAAACGUAAACGUUUGAUACUCAAAGGAUCGUGCGGGGAGAUUCAUCGUCAGAGCCGCUGGCUUCCCUUCGGUGGACGAUGUCCCGCGGAGUCCUCGACGCUCGCGCGCGGUCUCAGUUCUCGUGCACCGAUGUCCUGCUGUUGUCCUCGUGCACUUCUCCUCAUGUCGCGUGUCUUGAGAGUGCAGCUCUAAAUGUGUGGUAAAUUUCAUCUAAAGCUAAAUACUGCCCUGAGACCGCUAGCGCCCAAGUAGAGUGAUCGAGAGAUGAAGAUCACUUUGAAAAGAGAGUUAAAAAGCACGCAGAAAUUGUUGAAAGGGAAGCGGUUGCGACCAGACUCGCCUUCAGGGUUCAGCCGGCAUUCGCGCCGCUGUACUCCCUUUGGGGCGGGCCAGUUGUCGGUUCGGGCGGCCGGUCAAAGGCUCCCGAAAUCUAGUGCCUUUCGGGGCGCCUCAUAGCCGGUAGUGUAUGGCGACCAGCCUGGUCCUAGGAACGCGCUUCUGCACGCACGCAGGCAUAAGGGUCGCAAAGCGACCCGUCUUGCAACUCUGACCAAGGAAUACUAACAUCUUAGCGAAUGUUCAGGUCUCACACCCGUGCCCGCAGUGAAAGUAAACGGAGGUGGGAGCCCCCUCCCCGCACUCCCCAGCGUUCUAUUCUUAUGUCUUAGAAGAGACUCGCCUCAGAGCGUACACGUGGGGACCCGAAAGAUGGUGAACUAUGCCUGGUCAGGACGAAGUCAGAGGAAACUCUGAUGGAGGUUGUCAGCGACUCUAACGUGCAAAUCGAAUCUCCAAACUUGUGUAUGCGUGUCUUGACGCCU
rnacentral:rRNA from 1 species